CUCUUGCAGAUCCCAGCAAGGAGAGUGCUUUUAUAAUGAAACUGGAGGAGCUCACUCUGUCUAUUGUCAAUGAGCCGGGCUGGAUGGGCAUGCUUGCAUGGGAAGGGAAGGGCUGGCCUACCAGUGAGUGACUGUGAGCUCAGUAAAGGUUGAAUCAUGGUAGUUUUGUGAAGAACAGUGGCAGAAACUGAACGGCUGAUCAUGGUGUUUUUACCCCUCCAUGGGGUGGUUAAUACAGGACUGGAUGAUCUGGAUAUGUACCUAACUCUGAAAACAAGUUGCUGCUGCACCUGGUUUCCAGCAUUUUUGUCACUGCUCCAAAAUUCUGAAUCCGGUCCAGGUUCGGAUGUGGAUUGACGUGGAAUUUUGGACACGCGGUGCUUCUUCUCAAAAUGGUACAAAAACUCGGAUGCCUAUGUGGCGAGCAGCGAGUGGCCGGCGAGAUUCCCGUGGGGCCCUGUCACGUGGCAGCGGAUAAGGAGUGCCGAUCCGUCUCUCUGGUACGGUUGGUGGAGAGCUUCAGCUCGAUGUCGCAUGCGUUUAUUUCACUCCGGCCAGUUGGUUGUCGUGCUGUCUCGUCGGAACCGGAAGGGCUAACGGCCGAUGGUUUCGCCGGAAUUGACCGGAUGCAUCGAAGUAAACUCUUCUUUUUCUUCCUACAGAGAGAGAAAGCAGCGUCUUUGGACUGAGGCUAGAGCCUGAAUUUUUUUUUUGAAAAUGGCAAGGAAGUAUCAAAAAAAUGGUAUUUCUAGAUCUUUGGAAGUAUCAAAAAAAUGGUAUCAUAGAUGGGCUUUGAGAUUUCGGCUGCCUACAUGGGUUGUAGCCCAUCUGAGACGCAUUUGUUACUAUUUAAUAUAACCGCACUUGAGUACA